AUUGAACGCUGGCGGCAUGCUUUACACAUGCAAGUCGAACGGCAGCGCGGGCUUCGGCCUGGCGGCGAGUGGCGAACGGGUGAGUAAUACAUCGGAACGUGCCCAGGAGUGGGGGAUAGCUCGGCGAAAGCCGGAUUAAUACCGCAUACGACCUGAGGGUGAAAGCGGGGGAUCUUCGGACCUCGCGCUAUUGGAGCGGCCGAUGGCAGAUUAGCUAGUUGGUGGGGUAAAGGCCUACCAAGGCGACGAUCUGUAGCUGGUCUGAGAGGACGACCAGCCACACUGGGACUGAGACACGGCCCAGACUCCUACGGGAGGCAGCAGUGGGGAAUUUUGGACAAUGGGCGAAAGCCUGAUCCAGCAAUGCCGCAUGUGUGAUGAAGGCCUUCGGGUUGUGAAGCACUUUUGGCGGGAACGAAAAGGACUGUGCCAAUACCACGGUUCGAUGACGGUACCCGCAGAAUAAGCACCGGCUAACUACGUG
rnacentral:rRNA from 1 species